AAUUUUGAAAGCCAAUAAAACAAAAAAAAAAAGCCAAAAGCGUCAUCUUCCUCAAACACUACCGAUAGAACAGUACUCCACCACCCGCCUGAAAUUUGCGCCAAAAUUCAGUCGCCGGAAACCGUCGAGUUACCUUGCCGACCAAUUCGUCUGCUAGUGGAGUCGGGUUUGUCGUCCAAUUAUGUCUUCGCCGGUCUCUUAAUUUCAUCUGCCAGUGGAGUCUUGUUCGAUUACCACCACCACGCCCCAGCGACGCCACCACGCCAUAGCAACGUAAUUCGUCCGCUAGUAUCCAGUGUUGGCAAUAGUUGGCAUUUGGACGUAUAUGCAUUGGUUGGCAGCCUGAUGCAACUCAGUAAACAACAUGCUGUUAGUUGUGCUCUAUUGACCUGUAUUUUGUAUACUCGGCUUAGAAUGAUGGUGCAGCUGUAAAAUCUAAAUUGAUAUUAGCAGGUAGAUGUGCUUGGAUCUACAUAUAAACUUUUUUAACACUGUUUUGUCUGACGAGUUCCCUGGUUAGAUAAUUGUAGAAACAAACGGUCGAGAUGGCGACAAGUUUCAGCUUGCGUCCUCUGGGAUCCAGCCAUCCAGGUAUCCAGAUCCCACUAGUUCUAUAAGAUGCUUGUGUUAUUUCUGAUGUCAUUCGUCCCUUCAACUCUUUGGAUUGAAUACUUCAGUUCCUGUUGCACAUUUAACCUUGAAGGUGAUGAUACUAUGUCAUUCCAUAUAGAGCCCUCUUGGCAUGCUGGGUUUGGUCUCUUGUAUGAUCGCUCAAAAUAUCAAUGUACUAAUUGUUUACUGCUUUUGGUAUUCUCCUUCAUUAAAAAAUCUAUGAAUUAGUGUCCUCGUCAACACCAAGAAUCUCAUGACUGUGGACAUAAUGUGUGCAGAUAUAUGCUCGAGACUGUAGAGAAAAGGCGACAAGCAAUUCCUUAUAAGUACUUUGGCGAAGUUACAACUGAAUUUUCUCAAAAUAAGCUUGAUGAGCUCUGAGACUUGUGGAUCAAAUAUGUGGAUGAAUAUAAACAAGUGGAUGAAGAAGAAUUGGAAGACAAUGACCAUUUUAAUUAGGGUGUGUGUAUUUUCCUUUUGCGCGUGAUUAGGGAGGUGCUUCUAUUUUGUGCACAUGAAUUGGAAGAAACAACAGGCCUAGGUGUUCUAUUAUUUUUUUAUAACUUAGUUGAAUUUUUGGAAUCUUUUAAACAUUAUAUGUGAUUUUGUAGUGAAUGAUAUUAAAUGAAUGAAAAAGUAUUCCAAUUUUAAAGUCA